GCCCUAGUAGCUCAGUGGAUAGAGCACCGCUCUCCUAAAGCGGGUGUCGCAGGUUCGAUUCCUGCCUGGGGCA
rnacentral:tRNA from 1 species